GACGAACGCUGGCGGCGUGCUUAACACAUGCCAGUCGAACGGAAAGGCCCUGCUUUUGUGGGGUGCUCGAGUGGCGAACGGGUGAGUAACACGUGAGUAACCUGCCCUUGACUUUGGGAUAACUUCAGGAAACUGGGGCUAAUAACGGAUAGGAGCUCCUGCUGCAUGGUGGGGGUUGGAAAGUUUCGGCGGGUGGGGAUGGACUCGCGGGUUAUCAGCUUGUUGGUGGGGUAGUGGCUUACCAAGGCUUUGACGGGUAGCCGGCCUGAGAGGGUGACCGGCCACAUUGGGACUGAGAUACGGCCCAGACUCCUACGGGAGGCAGCAGUGGGGAAUAUUGCACAAUGGGCGGAAGCCUGAUGCAGCAACGCCGCGUGCGGGAUGACGGCCUUCGGGUUGUAAACCGCUUUCGCCUGUGACGAAGCGUGAGUGACGGUAAUGGGUAAAGAAGCACCGGCUAACUACGUG
rnacentral:rRNA from 1 species